GAGUAACGCGUGAGAAUCUGCCUUUAGGACGGGACAACAGGUUAGGGAAACGGCUGACCUAAAACCCGAUGUCGCCCUUCGGGGUGAAAUAUUUAUAGCCUGAAGAUGAGCUCGCGUCUGAUUAGCUAGUAGGUGCGGUAAUGGCGUACCUAGGCGACGAUCAGUAACUGGUCUGAGAGGAUGACCAGUCACACUGGGACUGAGACACGGCCCAG
rnacentral:rRNA from 1 species